rnacentral:rRNA from 1 species
UACGUAGGGUGCAAGCGUUGUCCGGAAUCAUUGGGCGUAAAGAGCGUGUAGGCGGCCACUUAAGUCCUGCGUGAAAUCUUGCGGCUCAACCGCAAGCGGUCGUGGGAAACUGGGUGGCUAGAGUACCGGAGAGGAAGGUGGAAUUCCCGGUGUAGCGGUGAAAUGCGUAGAUAUCAGGAGGAACACCGGUGGCGAAGGCGGGUCUCUGGGCCGUAACUGACGCUGAGGAGCGAAAGCAUGGGGAGCGAACAGG